AUCUUUAGAUAUUCCACCAACUCUAGACCCAAGUGAAAAUCUUGUCAAUGGAGAACUUUCAGAUAGCCAGAUUGAUUCUGACCGGUCAAAAACAGUAGGGAUUGCUGUGGCUGUUGGCAUUGGUGCUUUUUUAGUGCUGGUUGUAAUUAUUGUUGUCGUUUGUAUCAAAAC